CCCUUAGACGUUCUGGGCCGCACGCGCGCUACACUGACACAGGCAACGAGCUUUCCUUUACCGAAAGGUAUGGGUAAUCUUUUGAAACUGUGUCGUGCUGGGGAUAGAUCCUUGCAAUUUUUGAUCUUAAACGAGGAAUUCCUAGUAAGCGCGAGUCAUCAACUCGCGUUGAUUACGUCCCUGCCCUUUGUACACACCGCCCGUCGCUACUACCGAUUGAAUGGCUUAGUGAGGCCUCAGGAUCCGCGCCUAAUGUGUGGAGAAUUUGGACAAACUACGUCAUUUAGAGGAAGUAAAAGUCGUAACA
rnacentral:rRNA from 1 species